AAAAUCUGAUAAUGAGAAUAGAAUUUAAGAUCCAAAUGGUCAAAUUUGCAAUUCAGUUAUACAAUCUGUACAAAAGAUUGAACUAGCCACCUUAUUUCUAUGACUAUAUGUCAAAUUAACAAGGGGACUUGACCAAGAUCAUAACAUAGUUAAGCUUAUAAAAUAAUAACACCCUAGGUAGUAAAAACAACAUUCAAGUAGUUUG
rnacentral:lncRNA from 1 species